rnacentral:rRNA from 1 species
GACGAACGCUGGCGGCGUGCUUAACACAUGCAAGUCGAACGGAAAGGCCCUGCUUGCGGGGUACUCGAGUGGCGAACGGGUGUGUAACACGUGGGUGAUCUGCCCUCCACUUCGGGAUAAACCUUGGGAACUGGGUCUAUUACCGGGUAGAAGCCAUCUUGCUGGUGGUGGUUGGAAGGUUUUUUCGGUGUAGGAUGAGCUCGCGGGCUAUCAGCUUGUUGGUGGGGUAAUGGCCUACCAAGGCGGCGGCGGGUAGGCGGCCUGAGAGGGUGGACGGCCACAGUGGGGAUGAGAUACGGCCCAGACUCCUACGGGAGGCAGCAGGGGGGAAGAAUGCACAAUGGGCGCGAGCCUGAUGCAGGGACGCCGCGUGGGGGAAGACGGGCUUUGGGUUGGAAAAUCGUUUCGCUAGGGACGAAGCUUUUUGUGACGGUACCUAGAGAAGAAGCACCGGCUAACUACGUG